AAUGUUGUGUCUGAUUAAAGUAAUAAACUGUAAAUUUAUUUAAAGAAAUUAAAUUUUUCUCAACAUUA
rnacentral:tRNA from 1 species